rnacentral:rRNA from 1 species
CAGUAGCCGCGGGAAUACGAAGGGUGCAAGCGUUAAUCGGAAUUACUGGGCGUAAAGCGUGCGUAGGCGGUUUGUUAAGUCAGAUGUGAAAUCCCUGAGCUUAACUUAGGAAUUGCAUUCGAUACUGGGAAGCUAGAGUAUGGGAGAGGAUGGUAGAAUUCCAGGUGUAGCGGUGAAAUGCGUAGAGAUCUGGAGGAAUACCGAUGGCGAAGGCAGCCAUCUGGCCUAAUACUGACGCUGAGGUACGAAAGCAUGGGGAGCAAACAGGAUUAGAUACCCCUGUAGUCCCUGUCUCUUAUAA